rnacentral:rRNA from 1 species
UACGAAGGGGGCUAGCGUUGCUCGGAAUUACUGGGCGUAAAGGGCGCGUAGGCGGACAGUUUAGUCAGAGGUGAAAGCCCAGGGCUCAACCUUGGAAUUGCUUUUGAUACUGGCUGUCUUGAGUUCGGGAGAGGUGAGUGGAAUGCCGAGUGUAGAGGUGAAAUUCGUAGAUAUUCGGCGGAACACCAGUGGCGAAGGCGGCUAUCUGGACGGUUUCUGACACUAAGACUCGAAAGCGUGGGGAGCAAACAGG